CCCAGAAAGGCAGAAACACACAACUACACGAGGAAAUAUAGCAAACUACAAAGCUCAAGUUAACUACAUCAUACCCAACGAUUUUCUCCAGUUUUUUACCGACCAUGUCGAACAUCAGUGUUGACUCUGGCUCUGUUGAGGAGACCCAGGACGUGAAGAAGGGAAACUCCUAUGGCAGUGAAAUUGUUGAAACCAGCUCUGGAGAGACUAUUUUGCUGGAAGAGGUGUCCGAGAACACGGAAAAUACAAGCGCGGAACAAACUGCACCGGUGCCGACUGCACUUGAAGAUGAGGUGACCAUUGAGCCAAGCCUCUGAUAUGGAAUUAGUUGAUUAAUUGCAUGCGGUGCUUGCAUGAGGUUGAUUAACUGAUUACCUUGUGUACCUUCUGUUCCUUGGAACUUGUUAUGAAUGUAUGAAUUUAUAUUGCAGAAGAUUUAGCUUGUUUCGAUC